ACGCCGAGAAGUAGAACCUUCUUAAACCCUAACUCCCUUUCGGUUUGGAUUCGCGCGCGUUUGAGUUCCCCACGAAAUUACGAAAUUGAACUAAAAGAAACUGUAAUUUGCCUCGCGAUCAUAUUCUCGUAGUCUGAAUUCUGAAGGUCAAGGCUGAUCCGCAGAGGGAGGUCGAGCUCAAUGUCCGCAAGAAAACAAGGUGAAACGCCAGCAGACGAAGGCGGACCUGCUGCGAAGCCACCGCGCAUCAAAAUCUCUAAAUCCUCUGAAGGAGGCGAUGCCAAGAGUGCUAGCAGGAAGCUUAAAGACAUGGAAAUUUGUGUCCCAAUAGUCUGUGGAACAAUCGCAUUUUACCUUGGUAGGAAGGCCAGUGAGUCCCAGUCGCAUAAAUGGACAGUCUAUGUGCGUGGUGCUACUAAUGAGGAUCUGGGGGUGGUGAUAAAGAGAGUUGUGUUUCAGCUGCAUCCUAGCUUUAAUAACCCAACAAGAGUGGUUGAUUCGCCGCCUUUUGAGUUAUCAGAAUGUGGUUGGGGAGAAUUUGAGAUUGCCGUCACCCUCUUUUUCCAUAGCGACGUCUCUGAUAAGCAAUUAGAUCUUUUUCACCAAUUGAAGUUGUAUCCUGAAGACGAGUCUGGUCCACAAACAACAAAGAAACCUGUUGUUGUGGAAUCUUACAACGAAAUUGUGUUUCCCGAUCCAUCGGAAAUUUUUUUUGCUCGUGUUCAGAAUCAUCCAGCUGUUGUUGUGCCUCGGCUUCCAGCUGGUUUCAAUCUGCCUAGUCCAGCACCAAUUGAGAAUAUGGCAGAAAGGGAGAGAGGCGAUACCAAGGAUCACCCCCUUAGUCAAUGGUUCCUGAAUUUCUCAGAGGCAGACGAACUGUUAAAACUUGCAGCUGCUCGUCAACAAGUGCAAGCUCAUAUUGUCAAGCUGAGAAGACAACUCAGUGUGAUGGACGGACUGCCUCAGUUUUCAAAACCAACUCCUGGUUAUGAAUUUACGUGACAAGAUAGAGACUGAUAGAGUUUAUCGAUUUAUUUAGGUUUACCUACCAGUUCUCAUCGUUCAGGUGCACAAAUAUGGAAUAGGGAGGCCGGCAAAUUUUCAUUUUGAAACCACCCCCCCCUCCCCAACAAAAGAGAAAACCAACAAUAU